GUGGGGAAUAUUGCACAAUGGGGGAAACCCUGAUGCAGCGACGCCGCGUGAGUGAAGAAGUUAUUCGUAAUGUAAAGCUCUAUCAGCAGGGAAGAAAGUGACGGUACCUGAGUAAGAAGCACCGGCUAAAUACGUGCCAGCAGCCGCGGUAAUACGUAUGGUGCAAGCGUUAUCCGGAUUUACUGGGUGUAAAGGGUGCGUAGGUGGCAUGGCAAGUCAGAAGUGAAAGGCCGGGGCUCAACCCCGGGACUGCUUUUGAAACUGUCAGGCUGGAGUGCAGGAGAGGAAAGCGGAAUUCCUAGUGUAGCGGUGAAAUGCGUAGAUAUUAGGAGGAACACCAGUGGCGAAGGCGGCUUUCUGGACUGAAACUGACACUGAGGCACGAAAGCGUGGGGAGCAAACAGG
rnacentral:rRNA from 1 species